rnacentral:lncRNA from 1 species
GACCAGGACACUACAGAUUAGGUCCCACCGACAAGGCUGCCCUGACCAGGGCCCCACUGACAAGGGCCUCACUGAUGAGGACACGCCCACCAGAGUCUGCUGACUAAGUCCCAUGUGCCCACUCCUCCACUGAAUAGCACCCCUUGACCUGGUCACUAGUGCCCCAACCCAUGCUGACCAGGCCAGCACUAAGCCCCAGCUGACCAGGUCUCCACUGAUCAAGCCCCACAGCCCAGGUUUGCACUGACCAGACACCAAACAACUGGCAGCCAAUAGGUCCCCACUCACCAAAACCCCACUACUAGACCCCACUAAUGAGACCCUCUCUAAGCAGACCCCUGCUGACCACGAUCCCACUAAAUAGUCCUCACUGACCUAGUCCCAACUGACUAGGUCCACUGAGCAGGCCCACACUGAUCAGGCCCCUCCUAACCAUAUCAGAAGACCAAGAGGCAAUGAGAUGUUUCAUAUGGCAGGAGUAGGAGCAAGACAGAGAGGGGAAAGAGGUGUGACAUCCUGUUAGACAACCAGAUCACAUGAGAACUCACUAUCAGGAGAUCAGCAUCAAGAAGACUAACCAAUGGUGAAGGAUUCUCCAACCACACCACUGCCCACUGCUUCCAGGCAGAAGCCUCCUGCAGAGGCAGAACCUCUUAUGAAACUUCCACUAUGGCAGCGCAGAAAGAAAAUAUAGGCUUUGAGCCCCCACACAAGAGGCCACGAUCCUCCAGACUCCAGAUUAAUAAGCCCACCAACAGCUCACACUCUCAGUAUGGAAAAGCUACAGGCACUCAACACCAACCCAGCCCAUGAGAUCAGCCAUGGGGGCUACACCCUGCAAAGCCACA